AUAAUACUCCAUAGAUUAGAGACACUGGAAUGUUCUUUAGUCGAAAGUUCUGGCGCCUUAGGAUGGAUCUGCGGUCGAUUAGGUUGUUGUUGGGGUAACGGCCCAACAAGCCUGUAAUCGAUACGGGUUGUGGGAGCAAGAGCCCGGAGAUGGAAUCUGAGACACGAUUCCAGGCCCUACGGGGCGCAGCAGGCGCGAAAACUUUACAAUGCAGGAAACUGUGAUAAGGGAACUCCGAGUGCCCGUAUACGCGGGCUGUCCAGGUGUUUAAAAAUCAUCUGAAGAAAGGGCCGGGCAAGACCGGUGCCAGCCGCCGCGGUAAUACCGGCGGCUCGAGUGGUGGCCACUAUUAUUGGGCUUAAAGCGUCCGUAGCUGGACCGAUAAGUCUCUUGGGAAAUCCGCCGGCUCAACCGGCGGGCGUCUAAGGGAUACUGUUAGUCUAGGGACCGGGAGAGGUGAGAGGUACUCCGGGGGUAGGAGUGAAAUCCUGUAAUCCCCGGAGGACCACCGAUGGCGAAGGCAUCUCACCAGAACGGCUCCGACAGUGAGGGACGAAAGCUGGGGGAGCGAACCGGAUUAGAUACCCGGGUAGUCCCAGCCGUAAACUAUGCGCGUUAGGUGU
rnacentral:rRNA from 1 species